UCGUCUCCAGAUCGGAUUGGAAAGCAGGCUGGCUCUGAACCAGGACAUUCACCCACAUAUUACCUCAGUCACUGCUGGAGAAUGAUUUUCAUAAUACUCACUUUUUCAACUUUGAUACACUGUAUAUUCUCUCAGACAAUUCACCAGACUCCAUUGUUUAUCUCCAAGUUUCCAGGAGACACAGUCAAAAUGGAUUGUUCUGUAAAGGGUACCUCCACCCCCAACAUGUACUGGUACAGACAGGACUCCAGUGGAGGGAUAGAGAUGCUGUUCCUCUCCAGAGCAGCUGGAAUGGUUGAUGAGUCUCCAAUCAAAGAUUUCACAGCUCAGAGAACAGACAGUGAGAGCUUCAGUCUGCAGACAGAGAGGCUGUCUCUGAACCACACCGCUGUGUAUUACUGUGCAUGGAGUAGUCACGGUGAUUGAGGCAGACAGGGACGCCCAACAAAAACCUCAGAGCAGAUCAGCUGGGGCUCAAAGUGACAUGUGCCUGUACAGUAAACACAUUCCUAAAUCACAGGUGUCACAAUGCUUGGAGUGAAUGGUAUAGUUUGUAUAUGUUUAGGAAGGUUGUUACCAAUGUUGAAAAUAAAAAUUGGAAAAGUUUCUGUCCUAUUGACAGAACUAUCUAUAAGAAAUGUAAUUGAACCACUUCUUCAGAAGUGUUUUCAAAAAAGUUGAGCUUAUGACUUUUUGGAAAGGUUAACCCCCACCCCCCUGCAUUUUAGUGGACCCAACAUACUUGUCACUGCAGAUUUUCUGUUUUCGUCGUCAUGAAACCUAU